rnacentral:lncRNA from 1 species
CCUUCAGCAAUGGGGAUUGUUCUGUCACAUCGUGCUGCUUAAGUCUGGGAGCCAGGGUGGGAGGUACUGGGUUACAAGAAGGGAACAGGUGUGAGGGGUGACAACAUACUCAUUCAGCUUUGGACUCGUGCCUGUGGGGGUCCUGUAGGAGAUCUUGCGGACCUGUGCAGUGGGCCGUCGGAAAGGCAAGCCUGACCCUUUCAAGAGAGGUCAGGCCUGGAGACCAAGGGUGAGGCCCCUCCAUAAAGAGAAGGUGGUUGAAGCCCAUGGAUUAGAUGCUUGUGAAGAGCACAGAGUGGGAAGAGAAAGGACCAGUGACAGAACCAUGAGAAGCACAAUAGAGGGCGGGGAGAGGCAGACCUGACAUGGGGCAGACUCAAAUCCCGCCCUCAUGGACCUUACAGAGCUGCCACAAGCAUUCGUAAUUCUUAUCUAAGUAGACAGGGUCAAGUUACUAAGAGAGGACCAAGGACCUCAUUUCCAGGAGUGAGGCCAGGAAGACUCCAUGAAGGAGGGUGUUUUAACCAGGCUUUGGACCAAGCGCGGGAUGAGGACUGGCAAAAGAUGGUUAGACACACAAAGGCAAGGAGGCUUCAGGAUGUCUGGGAAACUGUGAGAAGUUGGUUAAUAUCUGGUCAGAGGUACUCACAGAAUAAUGCAGAAUUGGAUUAGAAUUCAAAAGCGUUUAAAAAAAUGUGUGAGCCACAGAAUGAAGUUUAGGGAGACUCAAAACUGUGUACUAUUGCUGCAGACACUGAGGCAGAUUAGUGUGCAGGACGACUCUUUCGGAGAGGUGCUGAAGGAAACGCCUGGAGAAGGGGAGAGAAGGAAGCAGGAUUAGGCGUGGGAGAGGUUGGGAGGUGCUGAGGUCUCACUAGUGGCCUCAGGUGACCUCAUGGGGAGCUCGGGAGCUUGGUCAGCCCUGCAGAGCAGUUCCGCACUGGGAAGUCUAGUGGGUUGAAUAGUGGCCCCCAAAAUAUAUGUCCAAGUCCUAACCCUCGGUACCUGUGACUGUGACUUUAUUUGCAUGUAAUUAAGUUAAGCAUCCUGGGGUGUGAUCAGCCUGUGUUUAGGGUGAGCCAAAUCUAAUGACCAGCAUCUUCAUGGGAGAAAGGAGAGGGAGAUUCCACACUCAGACACACAUGGGAGUGGGCCGUGUGAAGACAGGAGCAGAGACUGGGGUGACGCCUCUACAAGCCGAGGCAGCCAAGGAUUGCCUCAGCCACCAGAAACCAGGAGAGGGGCACGGAACAGGCUCUUCCUCAGAGGCUCCAGAAGGAACCAGCCUGCUGAUUUCAGGCUUCCACCUCCAGAAUGGCGAAAGAAUACAUUCUAUUGUUUUUCAGCUGCCCAGUUUGUGGUAAUCUGUUUUGGCAGCCUUAGGAAAUGAAUACAGGAGGCCAGGCCUUUUUACCCAGUACGAUCUGUCGUUGGAUGUGGGCUGCCCCGGAAGGAAGCACGAUCCUGGGCACUGAAAGAGAACACAGGGCUGAUUCCUUGACCUUUUGCAGUUCAUAGUCUAAUGAGGAAUACGAAUAAUUACAAAGGAAAGACUCUUUUACAGCCCUCAGCACUGUUAUUGCGUGAACUGGCUCAGCAUGGCCGGCCCAGUGAAGGACGCCAGUGGUAGUAACCGGGGAAGAGGGAUCCCCUGGCUCUUCUUACCAAACUUCUCCGAUCGUUUGGAGUGGUUUGGCCAUCAGUUAGUCAGGAAGAGGCCAGAAGGACACGUGCUGAUAAUGCUUCAAGAAAGUUAAACUUUAGGAAAAACUCGACCGAAGUAAAAAUAGCUAUGUAGUCAGUGACCAAAGCUACUUGGAUGGUCCUGUUGAUUGCUCUUGUGCAUUUUAUCACACGAAUACAGGCUUUCCCCUAAAAGUUGAAAAUAAAGAAGGGAAAUGUGAUGAAUGGC